rnacentral:rRNA from 1 species
ACGCUCGACACCUACGGGAGGCAGCAGUGGGGAAUAUUGCACAAUGGGGGAAACCCUGAUGCAGCGACGCCGCGUGAGCGAAGAAGUAUUUCGGUAUGUAAAGCUCUAUCAGCAGGGAAGAAACUGACGGUACCUGACUAAGAAGCACCGGCUAAAUACGUGCCGGCAGCCGUGGUAAUCUGAGCGGGCUGGCAAGGC